UCUAUAGAAGUGUUUUCCGUGCUGGCUCAUGUACAAGUCCCUUGGAACAGGGCGUCAUAGAGGGUGAGAAUCCCGUCCUUGACAUGAACUACCAGUGCUCUGUGAUACAUUUUCAACGAGUCGAGUUGUUUGGGAAUGCAGCUCAAAAUGGGUGGUAAAUUCCAUCUAAAGCUAAAUAUUGGCGAGAGACCGAUAGCGAACAAGUACCGUGAGGGAAAGAUGAAAAGCACUUUGGAAAGAGAGUUAAACAGUAUGUGAAAUUGUUGAAAGGGAAACGAUUGAAGUCAGUCGUGCUCUUUGGAUUCAGCCGGUUCUGCCGGUGUACUUCCUUUGAGUGGGGUCAACAUCAGUUUUGAUCGCUGGAUAAAGGCUGGAGGAACGUAGUACCCUCGGGUAAACUUAUAGCCUCCUGUCACAUACAGUGGUUGGGACUGAGGAACGCAGCACGCCUUUAUGGCCGGGAUUCGUCCACGUACGUGCUUAGGAUGUUGACAUAAUGGCUUUAAACGACCCGUCUUGAAA
rnacentral:rRNA from 1 species